UACGUAGGGUGCAAGCGUUGUCCGGAAUUAUUGGGCGUAAAGAGCUCGUAGGCGGUCUGUCGCGUCGGCUGUGAAAACUCGGGGCUCAACUCCGAGCUUGCAGUCGAUACGGGCAGGCUAUAGUUCGGCAGGGGAGACUGGAAUUCCUGGUGUAGCGGUGAAAUGCGCAGAUAUCAGGAGGAACACCUGUGGCGAAAGCGGCUCACUGGACCAUAACUGACGCUGAUGCACGAAAGCUGGGGGAGCAAACAGG
rnacentral:rRNA from 1 species